UGGGGAGUACGGCCGCAAGGUUAAAACUCAAAUGAAUUGACGGGGGCCCGCACAAGCGGUGGAGCAUGUGGUUUAAUUCGAUGCAACGCGAAGAACCUUACCUGGUCUUGACAUCCACAGAACUUUCCAGAGAUGGAUUGGUGCCUUCGGGAACUGUGAGACAGGUNCUGCAUGGCUGUCGUCAGCUCGUGUUGUGAAAUGUUGGGUUAAGUCCCGCAACGAGCGCAACCCUUAUCCUUUGUUGCCAGCGGUCCGGCCGGGAACUCAAAGGAGACUGCCAGUGAUAAACUGGAGGAAGGUGGGGAUGACGUCAAGUCAUCAUGGCCCUUACGACCAGGGCUACACACGUGCUACAAUGGCGCAUACAAAGAGAAGCGACCUCGCGAGAGCAAGCGGACCUCAUAAAGUGCGUCGUAGUCCGGAUUGGAGUCUGCAACUCGACUCCAUGAAGUCGGAAUCGCUAGUAAUCGUGGAUCAGAAUGCCACGGUGAAUACGUUCCCGGGCCUUGUACACACCGCCCGUCACACCAUGGGAGUGGGUUGCAAAAGAAGUAGGUAGCUUAACCUUCGGGAGGGCGC
rnacentral:rRNA from 1 species